CCUACGGGUGGCUGCAGUGGGGAAUAUUGGACAAUGGGCGAAAGCCUGAUCCAGCCAUGCCGCGUGUGUGAAGAAGGCCUUCGGGUUGUAAAGCACUUUCAGUGGGGAAGAAAGCCUUGGGGCUAAUACCCUCGAGGAAGGACAUCACCCACAGAAGAAGCACCGGCUAACUCCGUGCCAGCAGCCGCGGUAAUACGGAGGGUGCGAGCGUUAAUCGGAAUUACUGGGCGCAAAGCGCGCGUAGGCGGUCUGAUAAGCCGGUUGUGAAAGCCCCGGGCUCAACCUGGGAACGGCAUCCGGAACUGUCAGGCUAGAGUGCAGGAGAGGAAGGUAGAAUUCCCGGUGUAGCGGUGAAAUGCGUAGAGAUCGGGAGGAAUACCAGUGGCGAAGGCGGCCUUCUGGACUGACACUGACGCUGAGGUGCGAAAGCGUGGGUAGCAAACAGGAUUAGAUACCCUAGUAGUC
rnacentral:rRNA from 1 species